rnacentral:rRNA from 1 species
UGGGGAAUUUUGGACAAUGGGCGCAAGCCUGAUCCAGCCAUGCCGCGUGCAGGAUGAAGGCCUUCGGGUUGUAAACUGCUUUUGUACGGAACGAAAAGACUCUGGUUAAUACCUGGGGUCCAUGACGGUACCGUAAGAAUAAGCACCGGCUAACUACGUGCCAGCAGCCGCGGUAAUACGUAGGGUGCGAGCGUUAAUCGGAAUUACUGGGCGUAAAGCGUGCGCAGGCGGUUCUAUAAGACAGAUGUGAAAUCCCCGGGCUCAACCUGGGAAUGGCAUUUGUGACUGUAGAGCUAGAGUACGGUAGAGGGGGAUGGAAUUCCGCGUGUAGCAGUGAAAUGCGUAGAUAUGCGGAGGAACACCGAUGGCGAAGGCAAUCCCCUGGACCUGUACUGACGCUCAUGCACGAAAGCGUGGGGAGCAAACAGGAUUAGAUACCCACGUAGUCCCUGAGCGGGCUGGCAAGGCGCAU